CUGUUUUGAGUUUCCUUUUGUAAGCAGAAAAUCGUCAAGCGAUUUAUUAUAGGUUCAAAUCCUGCCAAAAUAGUC
rnacentral:tRNA from 1 species